CUGUGCUUGGUGUUUCUCUCUCUCUCUCUGUGCUCUACUUGCAGCUCCCUGCAGCUACUUGGAGCAUCUCACACAGCUGGAAGUGGCUGAAGCGUCCUGCACAUGCCUGGCCAGGUACGUGGGGCAGGUGUUCCUGGAGAAUGCCGACCGCUCCCUUCCUGCAUUUGAUCAGCUAACAAGCAGGACUGAGGCAAGGGUCAUUCUGCUCUCUCUUCAGUAGCCCUGCUGAAGAUGGUUUUUGCCUGAGGCUUCUCAUCAUGACCUACAAGAUGAGGAAUUACUGCCUCUAGCCCAGCGAUUACUGUCUGCGAAAAAGCCCGACUCUUUUGUACUCUGCUGGCAACGUUAUUUGAAUCACUGGAGGUAUAUAGUGUGCUCCUAUAGUGUAUAUAGUAUAUACUAUAUAGUGUGCUCCUAUAUAGCAGCUCACACUACCACUUCUAGAAUUCAUCUAGCAGUAGGGGUAUCCCUG
rnacentral:lncRNA from 1 species